AUUGAACGCUGGCGGCAUGCCUUACACAUGCAAGUCGAACGGCAGCACGGGAGCAAUCCUGGUGGCGAGUGGCGAACGGGUGAGUAAUAUAUCGGAACGUGCCCAGUCGUGGGGGAUAACGUAGCGAAAGCUACGCUAAUACCGCAUACUAUCUAUGGAUGAAAGCGGGGGAUCGCAAGACCUCGCGCGAUUGGAGCGGCCGAUAUCAGAUUAGGUAGUUGGUGAGGUAAAGGCUCACCAAGCCGACGAUCUGUAGCUGGUCUGAGAGGACGACCAGCCACACUGGGACUGAGACACGGCCCAGACUCCUACGGGAGGCAGCAGUGGGGAAUUUUGGACAAUGGCGCAAGCCUGAUCCAGCAAUGCCGCGUGCAGGAUGAAGGCCUU
rnacentral:rRNA from 1 species